rnacentral:rRNA from 1 species
AUUAGGGUUCGAUUCCGGAGAGGGAGCCUGAGAAACGGCUACCACAUCCAAGGAAGGCAGCAGGCGCGCAAAUUACCCAAUCCCGACACGGGGAGGUAGUGACAAUAAAUAACAAUACGGGGCUCAUUUGGGUCUCGUAAUUGGAAUGAGUACAAUUUAAAUCUCUUAACGAGGAACAAUUGGAGGGCAAGUCUGGUGCCAGCAGCCGCGGUAAUUCCAGCUCCAAUAGCGUAUAUUAAAGUUGUUGCAGUUAAAAAGCUCGUAGUUGAACUUCGGGGUUUACCCAUUGGUCAGGCUUAAUUGUCUGCACUGGUGAGAUGAAUCUCUACCUUCUGAGGAACUUUCAUGCCAUUUAUUUGGUGUGAUUGGAAAUCAGGACUGUUACUUUGAAAAAAUUAGAGUGUUUAAAGCAGGCUAACGUCUGAAUACAUUAGCAUGGAAUAAUGAAAUAGGACGGACUGAUUCUAUUUCGUUGGUUUCUAGGAUCACCGUAAUGAUUAAUAGGGAUAGUUGGGGGCAUUAGUAUUCAAUUGUCAGAGGUGAAAUUCUUGGAUUUAUUGAAGACUAACUACUGCGAAAGCAUUUGCCAAGGAUGUUUUCAUUAAUCAAGAACGAAAGUUAGGGGAUCGAAGACGAUCAGAUACCGUCGUAGUCUUAACCAUAAACUAUGCCGACUAGGGAUCGGACGAAGUUAAUUUUAUAAUGACGCGUUCGGCACCUUACGGGAAACCAAAGUGUUUGGGGACCCGUUCUAUCCUACCAUCCAAAAGUUA